AUGAUUGCAACUCCAAUGAAAAAGCUUAACAAAUUCCGCCGCCUCAAGUACUUGGAGAUACAGCUUCAUACGCCAAGACGUUGUCCAGACUUUGAUUUUUAUUCCCUGGUUUCUAUUCUUAAUGCUUGUCCUGUCCUGGCUACUUUCAUCUUGCGUUUAGAGAUGCGCGAUGCUGAUGAUGCCAUUCCGGGAGAUCCUCAUGGUGAUUCCUCACAACGGAAAACGCAUAUGAGGGGGCAGGGCCAUGGCAAGUUGAAGAAUGUUCUAGUGAGGGGUUUUCCCUCUGCAAAAGGUUUGGUUGAGCUAACAAGUCACAUCCUUGAGACCGCAGCAUCCUUGAAGCGCCUGGUACUGGAAACUGCAUAUGGCUGCCAUACGAGGGAUUGCAUUGGCAUAUGCUCGCCUUUAACGAGAAAGGCCCUCUUGGAAGCACGGAAAGCUGUAGGUGUCAUCAAGACAUACGUCGAGGGUAAAGUCCCCUCAACUGUUAAAUUCAAGCUUAUCGAGCCAUGUGCCAAGUGUCACGCCGACCACGCAUAA
rnacentral:rRNA from 1 species